rnacentral:rRNA from 1 species
ACAAGAAACCAACAGGGAUUGCCCUAGUAACGGCGAGUGAAGCGGCAACAGCUCAAAUUUGAAAUCUGGCUUCGGCCCGAGUUGUAAUUUGCAGAGGAUGUUUAUGGUGCGGUGCCUACCGAGUUCCCUGGAACGGGACGCCACAGAGGGUGAGAGCCCCGUCUGGUAGGACACUAAACCUGUGUUAAACUCCUUCAACGAGUCGAGUAGUUUGGGAAUGCUGCUCUAAAUGGGAGGUAAAUCUCUUCUAAAGCUAAAUACUGGCCAGAGACCGAUAGCGCACAAGUAGAGUGAUCGAAAGAUGAAAAGCACCUUGAAAAGGGGGUUAAACAGUACGUGAAAUUGUUGAAAGGGAAGCGUUUAUGACCAGACUUGUGUCGUGUGGCUCAUCCGAGGUUCUCCCCGGUGCACUCCACGCGGCUCAGGCCAACAUCGGUUGUCGUUGGGGGAUAAGAACAGUAGGAACGUGGCUCCCCUCGGGGAGUGUUAUAGCCUAUUGUACGAUACCCUGAUGGCGACCGAGGACCGCGCUUCGGCUAGGAUGUUGGCGUAAUGGUCAUUAGCGACCCGUCUUGAAACACGGACCAAGGAGUCGUCCAUUAGAGCGAGCGUUUGGGUGUAAAACCCGCACGCGUAAUGAAAGUGAAAUUAGGUGAGAGCUUCGGCGCAUCAUCGACCGAUCCUGAAGUUUACGGAUGGAUUUGAGUAAGAGUUUUAACGGACGGACCCGAAAGACAGUGAACUAUGCUUGAAUAGGGUGAAGCCAGAGGAAACUCUGGUGGAGGCUCGCAGCGGUUCUGACGUGCAAAUCGAUCGUCAAAUUUGAGCA